GAUGGAGCCAUUAUUAAUUACACAAUUUUGUUGAAUAAUUUCUUAGAAAAAGAAAGCUAAAUUUGCAUGUAGCUCCGUUGAUUCGGUUUCACAUGAAGGCCACAAAAUUAAUACGAUCAAUGCGCUACUAAAGAAAUAGCAUUUAGUUGAUUCUCAUACUUAUUAUGUAUGAUAUUCAUAUUAGCAUUUAGUUGCUCCAGGAUUCCAGAAAUAGUGGCUUGAGAUCUGAGUUAGGUAGCACUGUUCAAGGUGGUAUUUCAGUGUGGUAACCACUUUUGUUUGAUUAUGAAUGUGUUGUUGUGUUUUCAUCUAAGCUUGCAAUGUUAAUGGUUUUAAAAUAAUUUAUGUAUUCCUAAUUGCAUCGCUUAUUGGUUAGCGAGCACAUUAUUGGUUAGUAUAUUUCUCAGUUUUCCUUUACUUUCAUUUACUAACCCCAUUUUUUAUACUGAUUGUCAGGCAUAGUAUCAUAUUGUAAAACUUCUAGAUCAAUGCACUUUGGUAUGCUAUUUAUGUCCCCUCACCCAUCGGUGCCCUUAUUUGUUUCCCUCGUGGGCCAUUUCUCCUUUUCCCUCAAAUAAGCAUGGCUUCUCUCAAUUUUACUAUCCAUCUGCUCUUUCGAUUCUUGCUAGGUUGGCUCAAUUUCUUCGUCGUGCAUCACAGAAGCCUUUGUCGUGCUUUCCGGAAGUUUUCCUAGCUCGAUGGUCUGUUGGGGAACUAGCUACCAGGAAGGUCUGGAACGCCCAGCUAUCAAAACUUCAUGUAUGGUAAGCUAGGUUAGUUGUAGAAGAACCUAACGAAUUCUUCACUCCACUGAUUACCAGCACAUGCAACAAGUAUAGGUAUGGUACUUUUCUUUUUGAAAUCAGGUAGCAUUCCUCAUGUUUUUGUUCAUGGGGUGGCUCUGAAAAUUGAUCCAACAAAGAGGGUGCAUGAUGAGCAGCUCUGCUUUGGUCAUAUAUGUACUUUAUACUGAACCAAUCAAUCUGUUAUGAAAAGGAGGAGACCAUUGUAAUGUACUCUCACUCUCAGCUUCAUAUGUUCAAGCAAAUUGUUGAACAUAUCCCUUAAUUAUCAA